UAAAGACAGGAACAGAUAAAAUAAUUCAGUAAUCAGUAGUGAAUAUUAUGUAUUUUAAAUUAUAAUGGAAAACCAUGCAUAUUAUUACCUAAGAUUUUAUAGAUUUAAAUAAGGUUUCAUUGUAACUUGAUUUUGGAAAAAGUCAUCAUUAGAUAAUAAUGCAAAUAACUAAUAUAUAUAUAUUUGUUAUGAUUAAUGUUGUAAAAUUGAUAAAUGUAUAUUUAUACUUUUAGAUUUUGAGUAGAGCAAGGAAUGUAUUGGUUUUACAAUGUUUUUUAUUUUUUUUUUGUGGAUAACUCGUUUAAUGAAAAUUACUCUGAUUUACAAUAAUAGCACUUUAUCUGAAAGAAAAUAUGAUUAAAUGGUAUUUUAGAAAGGUUAUUUUUUGAUUUUCCCAAGAGUUUUCAAAAAACAUGGGAAAAAACAGGAUAAUAGGUACAAUAUAAAGCAAAUAUUAUUAAAGAAAAUGUAUAAUGCAUAUGUUAUUAUUUUGCCAUAAUAGUCAUAUAUAUUUUUAUUUAAUUUUAUUAUAUUAUUGACAAAGCAACACUAUCAACUGAACUCCGCUCAGAAUUGUUUUUUGUUAUCAAUUUUCAUUGUUAGCAAUUUAUCAUUGCUUAUAUUAAAUUUCCCCUCUACUACCUUCCUAACUUCUCACUUAUAAAAGUAGCUGCAUGAAUCCUCAUUAUUCUAGGACAACUUUUUGUAUAUGAAAAUUGUAUAUUGAAUAAUUUUGUGUUGUUAGUUUU